rnacentral:rRNA from 1 species
UUGCCGUUAGGCUGUGGUAAUGGGGGUUUCUAUGUUUAGUUUACCUUUUGCAUCAUGAUUUACUGAGGUUUUGCGGUUAUUUCGGUGAUCCGAAGGAAAGUGAUUUUUUUUUGACUUGUUUGGAAUUGACAGGUUGUUAAGUAAAUGUCUGGAGAGUCAAUGAAAGUUGUGAUACAUAAUUCGUACUUUCUUAUAUCUGAUUUAAGCUUGGUUUAAUCGGUGUAGUUACAUUGCUAAGAGGUGAUGUAGCUGAAUAGAAAUGUGAAUUUUUAGUGGGUUUACUGAGAUUAAAGAUGUCUUGGUAUGAUAAUUUUGUUAUAAGAUGGUUGUAAAAUGUUUGAUUUUAUGGUGGAUAAGCUUUGUUUAAUUUGUUGAGUUGAGUAUGGUAGAAUAAGUAAGAGACUAAUAUGGUCUUUUUUUCUCGAGAAAUGCUGGUCUGUUUAUUAAAAACAUUGUCAUUAGAAAAUUUUAAUGGUAGUGCCUGCCCAAUGUUGAGAUUAAUGGCCGCAGUAUACUGACUGUGCGAAGGUAGCAUAAUUAGUUGCCUCGUAAUUGGAGGAUUGUUUGAAAGGUUUGACCAAGUAUUGUUGAAAAUGGGCUUUUAAGCUGAAAUUGAUUUUGAGGUGCAGAAUCCUUAGUUAUGAAAUAAGACGGAAAGACCCCAAGAGCUUUACAGUGUAACUGUUUAUUUGGGGUAAAGAUGAAUUUUUUAUUCGUUUUUAGAGCCUAUUGGGUUAAAGGAUGAAGUUACCUUGGGGAUAACUGAGUAAGAGACGAUUAGAGAUCAAAUCGAUUCGUUUAGUUGCUACCUCGAUGUUGACUUAGAGAUGUAAUGCUGGUGUAGAGGCUAGUAUGAAAGGUCUGUUCGACCUGUAAUAUUUUCCAUGAGUUGAGUUAAGACCGGCGUGAGCCAGGUCGGUUCUUAUCUAUUAUUCUAACUAGUUAGUACGAAAGGACCAUUAGUUAUUUUA